rnacentral:rRNA from 1 species
UACGAAGGGGGCUAGCGUUGCUCGGAAUCACUGGGCGUAAAGCGCACGUAGGCGGCUUUUUAAGUCAGGGGUGAAAUCCUGGAGCUCAACUCCAGAACUGCCUUUGAUACUGAGAAGCUUGAGUCCGGGAGAGGUGAGUGGAACUGCGAGUGUAGAGGUGAAAUUCGUAGAUAUUCGGAAGAACACCAGUGGCGAAGGCGGCUCACUGGCCCGGUACUGACGCUGAGGUGCGAAAGCGUGGGGAGCGAACAGG